CCUCAUCUUCUACGCAUCACGAUUUAAAGAAGAAAGAGAGCUAGGGUGUAGAAUUUUGGGUAGCAAUUUCAAACAAUCACUCUUAAGAAGGAUCAAUUCAUCAUUUGCCAUCAACUUUGGGAGCUAAAGUGGAGAUUCUACGUGUUAUCGGAUAGGAGAAAUAGAAGAAUUGGAGUUAAUCAACGGGCUAUAUUAUAUUUGCUUUUGGAAAAUUUGGAUUAAGCGAUCGAGGUAUCCAGUAGAUAGUGUUCAAGUCGAACCUCCACUCCUUGUUUCGGAAGGCUCAUCACUUUUUGCAUGUACAGCUUCUGACUCUCUAGCGCUGCAGUAGUUCAGGCUUACACUUUUGUCGAGGUCCUACUAGCGGUUUAAGUAUAUUUUGGUCUAGUGACCGCUCAUGUUUAUAGUUUUUUUGUUAGGCCUCGUUUUCUGAUUAACGAACAAACAUCAGAGGUAGUUUUAGUUUAACUACUUAAUAUGUGUAUUUUGUAAAUGCGUAGAAUGGAAUUUGGCAAUAUAGAUUAUGGUUGUAUAAGUUUGUCGUGCAGGGUGGUUUGAGAUUUAACAGGUGUUGGUUAGUUAAAAUUACAGCCGUUAUAUUGCCAAAUUUUCGAAAAAAGAAAUACUUAAGUAUUAUAACGAUUUUUAAACGCGAAAAUUUUUUAGGUAAAAUUUAGGCUUGCUACGGGUUUCGGAACCAAAAUUUCCAUUCCCUAGCGCCGGUCGCGGCACGAGAAAUCGGGUCGUGACAAUAUCAGCACAUAGAAACGUGAACUAAUGGAAUAGGCUUUCAUUUGAAUCGGAAAUUUGGACGCAUUGGAUUUCGUCUUAAUGUUUAUUAGUAGAUUUUGCGAACUCACUCAGUUUAUAAAACUGA